rnacentral:rRNA from 1 species
AGAGUUUGAUCCUGGCUCAGGACGAACGCUGGCGGCACGCUUAACACAUGCAAGUCGAACGAGAGAAGAGGAGCUUGCUUUUCUGAUCUAGUGGCGGACGGGUGAGUAACACGUGAGCAAUCUGCCUUUCAGAGGGGGAUACCGAUUGGAAACGAUCGUUAAUACCGCAUAACAUAAUUGAACCGCAUGAUUUGAUUAUCAAAGAUUUAUCGCUGAAAGAUGAGCUCGCGUCUGAUUAGCUAGUUGGUAAGGUAACGGCUUACCAAGGCGACGAUCAGUAGCCGGACUGAGAGGUUGAUCGGCCACAUUGGGACUGAGACACGGCCCAGACUCCUACGGGAGGCAGCAGUGGGGAAUAUUGCACAAUGGAGGAAACUCUGAUGCAGCGAUGCCGCGUGAGGGAAGAAGGUUUUAGGAUUGUAAACCUCUGUCUUCAGGGACGAAAAAAGACGGUACCUGAGGAGGAAGCUCCGGCUAACUACGUGCCAGCAGCCGCGGUAAUACGUAGGGAGCGAGCGUUGUCCGGAAUUACUGGGUGUAAAGGGAGCGUAGGCGGGAUCGCAAGUCAGAUGUGAAAACUAUGGGCUUAACCCAUAAACUGCAUUUGAAACUGUGGUUCUUGAGUGAAGUAGAGGUAAGCGGAAUUCCUAGUGUAGCGGUGAAAUGCGUAGAUAUUAGGAGGAACAUCAGUGGCGAAGGCGGCUUACUGGGCUUUAACUGACGCUGAGGCUCGAAAGCGUGGGGGGCAAACAGGAUUAGAUACCCUGGUAGUCCACGCCGUAAACGAUGAUUACUAGGUGUGGGGGGACUGACCCCUUCCGUGCCGCAGCAAACGCAAUAAGUAAUCCACCUGGGGAGUACGACCGCAAGGUUGAAACUCAAAGGAAUUGACGGGGGCCCGCACAAGCAGUGGAGUAUGUGGAUUAAUUCGAAGCAACGCGAAGAACCUUACCAGGUCUUGACAUCGUAUGCAUAGCUCAGAGAUGAGUGAAAUCUCUUCGGAGACAUAUAGACAGGUGGUGCAUGGUUGUCGUCAGCUCGUGUCGUGAGAUGUUGGGUUAAGUCCCGCAACGAGCGCAACCCUUACUGUUAGUUGCUACGCAAGAGCACUCUAGCAGGACUGCCGUUGACAAAACGGAGGAAGGUGGGGAUGACGUCAAAUCAUCAUGCCCCUUAUGACCUGGGCCUCACACGUACUACAAUGGCUGUCAACAGAGGGAAGCAAAGCCGCGAGGUGGAGCGAACCCCUAAAAGCAGUCUUAGUUCGGAUUGUAGGCUGCAACCCGCCUACAUGAAGUCGGAAUUGCUAGUAAUCGCAGAUCAGCAUGCUGCGGUGAAUACGUUCCCGGGCCUUGUACACACCGCCCGUCACGCCAUGGGAGUCGGUAACACCCGAAGCCUGUAGUCUAACCGCAAGGAGGACGCAGUCGAAGGUGGGAUUGAUGACUGGGGUGAAGUCGUAACAAGGUA